UACGUAGGUGGCAAGCGUUGUCCGGAUUUACUGGGCGUAAAAGAGCGCGCAGGCGGUCGUUCAAGUCGCGUGUGAAAGCCCCCGGCUCAACUGGGGAGGGUCACGCGAUACUGAUCGACUCGAAGGCAGGAGAGGGUAGUGGAAUUCCCGGUGUAGUGGUGAAAUGCGUAGAUAUCGGGAGGAACACCAGUGGCGAAGGCGACUACCUGGCCUGUUCUUGACGCUAAGGCGCGAAAGCUAGGGGAGCAAACGGG
rnacentral:rRNA from 1 species